rnacentral:rRNA from 1 species
AGGAUGAACGCUGGCGGUCUGCUUAACACAUGCAAGUCGAACGGAGUAGCAAUACUUAGUGGCGGACGGGUGAGUAACGCGUGAGAAUCUACCUUCAGGACGGAGACAACAGUUGGAAACGACUGCUAACCCCCGAUGUAUCGAAAGGGCAAAUAUUUAUAGCCUGAAGAAGAGCUCGCGUCCGAUUAGCUAGUUGGAGAGGUAAAAGCUCACCAAGGCGACGAUCGGUAGCUGGUCUGAGAGGACGAUCAGCCACACUGGGACUGAGACACGGCCCAGACUCCUACGGGAGGCAGCAGUGGGAAUUUUCCGCAAUGGGCGAAAGCCUGACGGAGCAAGACCGCGUGAGGGAGGAAGGCUCUUGGGUUGUAAACCUCUUUUCUUGGGGAAGAACAAAAUGACGGUACCCAAGGAAUCAGCAUCGGCUAACUCCGUGCCAGCAGCCGC